rnacentral:rRNA from 1 species
GAAUAUUGGACAAUGGGCGAAAGCCUGCUCCGGCCAUGCCGCGUGUGUGAAGAAGGUCUUCGGAUUGUAAAGCACUUUAAGUUGGGAGGAAGGGCAGUACGCGACUACCUUGCUGUUUUGACGCUACCGACAGAAUAAGCACCGGCUAACCCUGUGCCAGCAGCCGGGGUAAUACAGAGGGUGCAAGCGUUAAUCGGGAUUACUGGGCGUAAAGCGCGCGGAGGUGGUUCGUUAAGGUGGAUGUGAAAUACCCGGGCUCAACCUGGGAACUGCAUCCAAAACUGGCGAGCUAGAGUAGGGCAGAGGGUGGUGGAAUUUCCGGGGUAGCGGUGAAAUGCGUAGAUAUAGGAAGGAACACCAGUGGCGAAGGCGACCACCUGGGCUCAUACUGACACUGAGGUGCGAAAGCGUGGGGAGCAAACAG